rnacentral:rRNA from 1 species
GUAGGGAAUCUUCCACAAUGGACGAAAGUCUGAUGGAGCAACGCCGCGUGAGUGAAGAAGGUCUUCGGAUCGUAAAACUCUGUUGUUAGAGAAGAACGUGCAUGAUAGUAACUGAUCAUGUAAUGACGGUAUCUAACCAGAAAGCCACGGCUAACUACGUGCCAGCAGCCGCGGUAAUACGUAGGUGGCAAGCGUUGUCCGGAUUUAUUGGGCGUAAAGGGAACGCAGGCGGUUUUUUAAGUCUGAUGUGAAAGCCUUCGGCUUAACCGAAGAAUAGCAUUGGAAACUGGGAAACUUGAGUGCAGAAGAGGACAGUGGAACUCCAUGUGUAGCGGUGAAAUGCGUAGAUAUAUGGAAGAACACCAGUGGCGAAGGCGGCUGUCUGGUCUGUAACUGACGCUGAGGCUCGAAAGCAUGGGUAGCGAACAGGAUUAGAAACCCGAGUAGUCC